UACGUAGGUCCCGAGCGUUGUCCGGAUUUAUUGGGCGUAAAGCGAGCGCAGGUGGUUUAUUAAGUCUGGUGUAAAAGGCAGUGGCUCAACCAUUGUAUGCAUUGGAAACUGGUAGACUUGAGUGCAGGAGAGGAGAGUGGAAUUCCAUGUGUAGCGGUGAAAUGCGUAGAUAUAUGGAGGAACACCGGUGGCGAAAGCGGCUCUCUGGCCUGUAACUGACACUGAGGCUCGAAUGCGUGGGGAGCAAACAGG
rnacentral:rRNA from 1 species